rnacentral:rRNA from 1 species
GCAUAUCAAUAAGCGGAGGAAAAGAAACCAACAGGGAUUGCCUUAGUAACGGCGAGUGAAGCGGCAACAGCUCAAAUUUGAAAGCUGGCUCCUUCGGAGUCCGCGUUGUAAUUUGUAGAGGAUGAUUCGGCGAGGGCUCCCGCCUAAGUCCCCUGGAACGGGGCGUCAUAGAGGGUGAGAAUCCCGUAUGCGGUGGGUUGCCUUAGCCAUGUGAAUCUCCUUCGACGAGUCGAGUUGUUUGGGAAUGCAGCUCUAAAUGGGAGGUAAAUUUCUUCUAAAGCUAAAUACCGGCCAGAGACCGAUAGCGCACAAGUAGAGUGAUCGAAAGAUGAAAAGCACUUUGGAAAGAGAGUUAAAAAGUACGUGAAAUUGUUGAAAGGGAAGCGCUUGCAGCCAGACUUGUCCGCAGUUGCUCAACCGGUCUCCUGACCGGUGUACUCUUCUGCGGCCAGGCCAGCAUCAGUUCGGGCGGUCGGAUAAAGGCCCUGGGAAUGUAGCUCCUCUCGGGGAGUGUUAUAGCCCAGGGUGGAAUGCGGCCAGCCUGGACUGAGGAUCUCGCUUCGGCUAGGAUGCUGGCGUAAUGGCUGUAAGCGGCCCGUCUUGAAACACGGACC